CAAGCUGAGCAUGGAGAUCAAUAACCAUCUUCUCUUCAUAGUCUGAUAAGAGACCCCUCUUCAAGUCUGGCCUAAGGUAGUUUGUCCAUCUCAGCCUGCAACUCUUACCACACCUUAACAAUCCUGCAAUCACACCCGCCAUAACCAUUUACUCAUUUCUCUUUCUUUUUUUUUCUUUUUUUUUAUGUUUUUAUUUUUUAAGCACUAAAGCCUGUAAUGUUGUGAAUCAUUACAAAUUUUUUAUAGUUUAUCUUGUGGGCAGCUUUUCUAGCAUAUACCUUCUGUAUAAUGAUUGUUUUAUUGACUACCUGUCCUGCCCAAUAAUUUAUCGAGAAAAUACGCUAUAUAUUAGGAUAAUUGUCUGAUUUUCUCGAUAAAAUCAUAUGGAAAUUAUAUGUACUCUGAGUUAGUCAGAAUAAAAUCUCAAAUUCUUUCGUUUACGAGAAAAAAAAAA